UACGGAGGGUGCAAGCGUUAUCCGGAUUCACUGGGUUUAAAGGGUGCGUAGGUGGGCAGUUAAGUCAGUGGUGAAAUCUCCGGGCUUAACCCGGAAACUGCCAUUGAUACUAUCUGUCUUGAAUAUCGUGGAGGUAAGCGGAAUAUGUCAUGUAGCGCUGAAAUGCUUAGAUAUGACAUAGAACACCAAUUGCGAAGGCAGCUUACUACCCGAAUAUUGACACUGAGGCACGAAAGCGUGGGGAUCAAACAGG
rnacentral:rRNA from 1 species